CAGAUCAUCCAUUUAGGGAUUUAGAUAUGUUACCCCAGCCACCAGGCUGAAUGUUUAACCGUCACCAGACACUCUGCCAUGAAUGUGAGAGAGUUUAAAGCUAUUUCUUAUUUUCCUGUGUAACUAUAUUGAUGUUUGAUUAAAUUUACGCCGUCGUGUUACUGAGUAACAAUUUGAAAUUGGGCCAAAAUCAUCAAGCUAGAGUUUUGCAUAAUCUUUUUCAAACUUCUGGGAGAUUUCUGCCCUUGAAAGUAUUUGCUCGCAGCCCGCCUCAAAGUUACACUUCGUUCAGUAUUUAAAGCUUUCGGAUACACUUUUUUGUUAAUUUGAGAUCUUAAUGACGCUACAUUGUACUUCUAAGUAAAUAGAUGCUCAAAGUAACAAGAUGCUCUGGGUGUUCACUGGGUGACAAAGGCUACCCAGUAUUGGUUGUUUCUUUUUUCUGAAAAGAUGUUUCUAGUGAAUUGCCAAGUUGCAGUGGUUUUGACGCCACAGAACCAGCACAGCUCCAUGACAGAUAUAUAUGUUUUCGUCAUUGAUGUCAGUACUGCUGUAUUGGUGGCCUCACAAUUUCUGUGUGGAAAUGUCAUCUGAUACACUCAUAACGGCGUAUUUCUAGCAUAGCUUUCAUAAGUGCAUGGCCAUUCUCUGUCAUUUUCAGAUACACUGUGUUGUGUGUGGAUAAGAAAUGCAGAGUGGUACCACCAAUUACCUAAGCCACCAUUCCCCUAACAGACAAAAGGCUCAUGGGGACAGUUCCUGCAGUUUACAGCAAAUUGUAGCCCUACAAACUUCAGAUACUGCCAAGCUUGGGUGCACUGGGCCGGUUAUCCAGCCGUGUGGAAUCAACAUCUCCAGCUGAACUUGGGCCGGGAAUUAUAUAAGAAUCCUUAGCAGCAUGAGUGCCAGCCAGUCAUUGCUGUUCUUUGCAUUGCUGAGGAGGACAGUCCUGCCAACA